ACAUUUCUCCAAAUCUGAUCUGAUUAUUAAAUUUUAUUUGUAUUUUUUUUGUUUUUGUUACACCAGGAUUCCUGCUGUUCUUCCGGGGAUUUGUUAACUAUUCCAGAGUGCGCAACAUGGCAGAUCACUCCAUGUCUACUCUUCCUCGAACCCGAGUUCUUUUUAUCUAUUAGGACAUAAACAACAAAAGUGCAAAGAACACGUCUGCUUCAGACGCCCUUGUUGUUUGCAUAAUGCAACUAAUUACAUUGGCAUUUUUACUAAAGCUUUCCAGUUCCUCCAACCAUUAAUCAGUGCUUAAUUCAGUCGUACAGUAUACAUUCAUUAUGCAGUUAAAAACUACUUACAUUUGCAUGUGCUUCAUCAAUAAUCAGCUUCUGUAAAAUUCCCAGUCACCGUUUGUUUCUUUUGGGUUUUCUCUUAAUUUGUGGCAAGGUUGUAAAUUUACUUUGAGUAAACCUAGUGAGCUAGAACAAGAGUAUGUAUAUACAGUAUACGAGAAGAGAGAUAUUAAAUGUUAUAAACAUGCACUUUCAAGAUAUAAAAAGAAUAAGAUCCUUGUAAAGCCAAAAUUAUAUGAAGGCAACGUUUAUUCAAGAAAUGUCUGCUUGUUUUAAGUUACUGUCACAAAAUGGACCAAAAUAGACUUAUUGUAUAAUAGAUUAUCUUAGACUGAUAGCAGUUCAAUAUAUGGUUCCGAAUUAAAGCACAUCUGGUUAUGUAAUGCGCUUAAUCAAUCAGUAUGAGUUACAGAUAUCUUAUGAUGCCAAAUGUAGCAGUAGAUGGUUCAUUGAUCUUUUCGUUUUUAUUUGUAUUGAAGGCUUCAGUGUGGGAUAGUGUUUCACGAUGUGUUUGUGAUUUGUAUGUUUUACACUUGUCCUGUAACUUUUAAUAAAUGUAACAUCUAUGGCAACACCACA